rnacentral:lncRNA from 1 species
GGAAGGAGAGUAAAUAACCUCCAUCUGACAGCUACAAAAGCUGGCCUUUGGUCUGCCUGUCUGACAGCUACAGCCUCUGCCGCGCCAAGGGGAGAGGCUGGGGAACAUACUCGGGAUGUGUAUCACCCCCACGGUGGGGAGGAUCUCUGGACCCAUCACAAAACAGCUGCGAAGGACUGGGAGGAAAAGCGAGAGUGACUCUGUCUGUGGCAACUGGCAGGCACUACCAUUUGUAUGGACGAAGGAGGAGGAAGAGCUUUCCUUGAAUGCAUUUCCACUUCGGUGCUUACCAGCGCCACUGGAUCUGGCCCCAGCUGUAUUGUGCGGAGCUGCUCCUCAGGGUUCCCCAAGCAGGGCAUUUCCAAGGGGCUGGGGCAGCCCGUCCACUUCAGACCUACCUGAGAGGCCUGUCCUGGCUCAGCAUUAAAACCUCAUUAACAGCACAGCCCCUCCACACAGGUCAGAUCAGCUGGCAGAUACGCUUAUUAGUGGGAGCAAAGGUAGUAAUAGCAUUUAUUUCGUCUUUUCCACCAAGCAUAGCUUUUCUAAAUGGAUUACUUUAAUCUACAAGGGUAACCCCCAGGGUUUUCACACUCUGUGCAAAGCCUGCCCAUCUUUUCAGAAAAUUGAACAGUGUGUUAAAAAGCUCUUCCUGGUAGCUUAUCUAAACCUGUCUUCUCCUAAUCCCCCAGUUUUAGUCUUGAAAUUAAAAUAUGCUUUUUUCCUCCUUCUAUCACUUAGCAAUUAGCCUGCAAAGCUGAAGAUUCUGAAAACUUUUAAUUCAUACUAAUGAGAUACUGUUCUCUAGGGGAAUAAGAGAAGGUAGAAAAAUAAUGUUUCUGAACGGGGAUGGAAAAAUCGAAUCUCCUUGCCAGGGCCGUGGGUGCAAUCCCCUUCCGGAGUUCAGCUGGCCGAGUUAAGGGCUCGUACCCCCGUGGGCCUGGCCCUGACCCGCACCCACCAGCUCAGCUUUCCGGCUUGACCUGGGACCUGCCUGGUCGCUACGGACUUGCUGGGUGACCACUGGGCUGGUCUAAGCCUGCUCUAUGCCCCUGGAGCUGCUCCUCACGGGCACCUUGCUGGCUCUGCUCCCACCGCAUGGUCCCCCGGCCCCAGGCUCUCCUUCCCUUGCGGGGCAGCUGGACUUGUGCCCAGAUAAUCCUCCACCUUCCCAGCAAAGAAGUUAACUCUGUUCACUAUUAUUUCCUCCAACUCCAAACCUCAGCGAGAGAGAAUCGGACUUCUACGGCAUGUGAUGAAGCUGUUUGUCCCCAGCUCAUUACUUCGGAAGAGGAAUGGCAGAUAUGUCAAUAUUUAUACUGCAUCCCAGUAAAAGACAGUUUGUUUAAGCUGAAGUCAAUAUAAACUGUACUGAUUCAUGCUGGCUGAAAAUCUGUCCACAUUUUCUAAUCAGUUCAGUUAAGGUGAAGUCCCUGCACUUUUAGAACAAGAGAUUUCUUCAUAUGCAUUAAUAUUCUGUAUUAAUAUUUUGCCAUUAUGUAGAUCAGCUAUUUGGGAAAAUGACAUUAGCACUUGCCUUCCACACCAUUUAUAGCCUUUGACAGCUUCCUGACAUUGAUAAAGAGCGUUAUGGAAAGCGGAGUCAGCGGGCUGAAGACGCUGACUGAGUUAUGUUUUUAUUAAAAGUCUUAUUCAAUUGUCAGACAAUGUCACAUGUAAAUAUCCUCAUGAGCUUCUAGUGAAGCAAAGUCAAUGUGCAAACUGCAUCUGUUUACUCUAUUGCCUUCUCGGUGCCUGGGAGGAUGCUAUGAAACAGAGCAGGAAGAAAAGGGGGGUCCUGGAUCUCAAAUUUACCACUCAUGACCUCGAGCAAAGGUACAUGACUUAUGAAUUCCCAAGCCAUAUGAGACAGGUGUUACCUUCCAGUUUGAUACAGCAAGUACUGAACACAUCUUUAGAGCCACCAUUGUCGCUCCAUUUCUCUUUAUUUUGAAUAAACGCUCUCAAAUCCACCUGCUUUAUUAAACU